AAGCGAUAGAAAUUAACAUUGGAUUGACAGAUAUCAAGCUUAUUGUGUUCAAAUUAUGUUACACAAGUUUACAGACCGUAACAGAGAUUACUGAUUUUCAAGUUCUACUUUUUAAAAACAGUGACAUUUAAUUGUUAUGUGGAAUGGAACUGAAAGAUGCAAACUAAAUAUUGAAUUUGUAAGACAAUUAAGAAUUAUUUAGGUCAAAGCUGCAAAGUCUAACUUCAACGUAUUUUGCAGGACAGAUGAACUUUACAGCAAAACUUUUUGCAACUUUGUGUGAAUAAUAAUCAGAAAACAUAAUGGAAAUAAAAUGAUAGCUUCAAAAAAAUGGAACAAUGAACUGAUCAACAAAGAAAUUGAAAUUUAAAAGAUCCUUUACUGACACAGGUAAAAAGAACACCAUAAAUGGGGAGAUUUGAUAUCAUCUUGUGCUUGUACUCGCUGCUGAAGAUUGUAUCAAAUGAGUUUUCCUUAUCAAAAUGAUUACAGACCAACUUGGAAGGUUUGUGAGUCAGGACUUCCCCUUUACAGAGGCCAUUCUAUAAAGGAUUAGCAAGGAGAAUCUAUGAUUCAGUUGUGAGAAGCAACGCUCAGCACCAAUCUCACAAAGCAAAAUGAUAGAAGCUGAGAUGAUGAACUAGCUAUAUUUUGUCACUAUUGGUAGUUCAAUCAACAAUACAGUUACUGCAAUUUCUAAAUGACGCAAAAUGUCAUCUCAAGAAGAUACCAUGAAGAAAGUCUUCCUUAACUUGACCAAUGGCUGUUUUGAGGCUGUCAAUUUCCAGAUGUCCUUGAGUGGAAGAAAGAACCUUCAUAACCAUAAAAUAAAUAAAGGAGCAAGCAUUCAGUCCUUCAGUCCUAAAAACACCUGUGGAAACACUGGUGAUACAAUAACCCCACAACUCUGCCCUUCUCUGUUCCUUUGA
rnacentral:lncRNA from 1 species